UAAUACAUGCAAGUCGAGCGAGCUUGCCUAGAUGAUUUUAGUGCUUGCACUAAAUGAAACUAGAUACAAGCGAGCGGCGGACGGGUGAGUAACACGUGGGUAACCUGCCCAAGAGACUGGGAUAACACCUGGAAACAGAUGCUAAUACCGGAUAACAACACUAGACGCAUGUCUAGAGUUUGAAAGAUGGUUCUGCUAUCACUCUUGGAUGGACCUGCGGUGCAUUAGCUAGUUGGUAAGGUAACGGCUUACCAAGGCAAUGAUGCAUAGCCGAGUUGAGAGACUGAUCGGCCACAUUGGGACUGAGACACGGCCCAAACUCCUACGGGAGGCAGCAGUAGGGAAUCUUCCACAAUGGACGAAAGUCUGAUGGAGCAACGCCGCGUGAGUGAAGAAGGGUUUCGGCUCGUAAAGCUCUGUUGGUAGUGAAGAAAGAUAGAGGUAGUAACUGGCCUUUAUUUGACGGUAAUUACUUAGAAAGUCACGGCUAACUACGUGCCAGCAGCCGCGGUAAUAC
rnacentral:rRNA from 1 species